GACGAACGCUGGCGGCGUGCCUAACACAUGCAAGUCGAACGGUAUCGGGAAAGCAGCAAUGUGAUUCCGGUAUAGUGGCGGACGGGUGAGUAACGCGUGAGCAACCUGCCUUCAAGAGGGGGAUAACACCGGGAAACCGGUGCUAAUACCGCAUAAGACCACACCGACGAUGUCGGAGGGGUCAAAGGAGCAAUCCGCUUGAAGAGGGGCUCGCGUCCCAUUAGCUAGUAGGUAGGGUAACGGCCUACCUAGGCGACGAUGGGUAACCGGGCUGAGAGGCUGAACGGUCACACUGGGACUGAGACACGGCCCAGACUCCUACGGGAGGCAGCAGUGGGGAAUAUUGGGCAAUGGGGGAAACCCUGACCCAGCAACGCCGCGUGAAGGAAGAAGGUUUUCGGAUUGUAAACUUCUGUCGCAGGGGACGAAAGAAAUGACGGUACCCUGUGAGGAAGCCCCGGCUAACUACGCG
rnacentral:rRNA from 1 species